rnacentral:misc_RNA from 1 species
GACCUCUCAACCGCUUUGGUAUUCGAUUACAAAAGUCGGCUUGGAACUUGGGUGCCUCUGGCGAAACGCAAAGGUCUUUGCGGACCUGUCGCCCACCCCAAAGUCAGUUGGGCCAACCGCGCGGAUGAGCGGACGGUUUGACCACAGUGUUGUAAGGUUCGCCUCACUGUCGGGACGUCCAUUUCCGUUAGCACGAAGGCAUUUGAAACACGAUACUAUUGA